rnacentral:rRNA from 1 species
AGCGAACGCUGGCGGCAGGCUUAACACAGGCAAGUCGAACGGACGUAGCAAUACGUCAGUGGCAGACGGGUGAGUAACGCGUGGGAAUAUGCCCUUUAGCUCGGAAUAACUCAGGGAAACUUGAGCUAAUACCGGAUAAGCCCGAGAGGGGAAAGAUUUAUCGCUGAAGGAGUAGCCCGCGUCUGAUUAGCUAGUUGGUGAGGUAAUGGCUCACCAAGGCGACGAUCAGUAGCUGGUCUGAGAGGAUGAUCAGCCACACUGGGACUGAGACACGGCCCAGACUCCUACGGGAGGCAGCAGUGGGGAAUAUUGGACAAUGGGGGCAACCCUGAUCCAGCCAUGCCGCGUGAGUGAUGAAGGCCUUAGGGUUGUAAAACUCUUUUAUCCGGGAAGAUAAUGACUGUACCGGAAGAAUAAGCCCCGGCUAACUUCGUGCCAGCCGCCGCCGUAACAC